UACGAAGGGUGCAAGCGUUACUCGGAAUUACUGGGCGUAAAGCGUGCGUAGGUGGUGAGUUAAGUCUGUCGUGAAAGCCCCGGGCUCAACCUGGGAAUUGCAUUCGAGACUGAAUAGCUAGGGUGCGGUAGAGGGAAGCGGAAUUUCUGGUGUAGCGGUGAAAUGCGUAGAUAUCGGAAGGAACAUCAGUGGCGAAAGCGGCUUCCUGGACCAGCACCGACGUUCAGGCACGAAAGCGUGGGGAGCAAACAGG
rnacentral:rRNA from 1 species